UGUGCAGGCGGUUUGUUAAGUCGGAUGUGAAAGCCCUUGGCUCAACCAAGGAAGUGCAUUCGAAACUGGCAAACUAGAGUACGGCAGAGGAGAGCGGAAUUCCCAGUGUAGAGGUGAAAUUCGUUGAUAUUGGGAGGAACACCGGUGGCGAAAGCGGCUCUCUGGUCCGAUACUGACGCUGAGACACGAAAGCGUGGGGAGCAAACA
rnacentral:rRNA from 1 species